rnacentral:rRNA from 1 species
GACGAACGCUGGCGGCGUGCUUAACACAUGCAAGUCGAACGGAAAGGCCCUGCUUUUGUGGGGUGCUCGAGUGGCGAACGGGUGAGUAACACGUGAGUAACCUGCCCUUGACUUUGGGAUAACUUCAGGAAACUGGGGCUAAUACCGGAUAGGAGCUCCUGCUGCAUGGUGGGGGUUGGAAAGUUUCGGCGGUUAGGGAUGGACUCGCGGCUUAUCAGCUUGUUGGUGGGGUAGUGGCUUACCAAGGCUUUGACGGGUAGCCGGCCUGAGAGGGUGACCGGCCACAUUGGGACUGAGAUACGGCCCAGACUCCUACGGGAGGCAGCAGUGGGGAAUAUUGCACAAUGGGCGGAAGCCUGAUGCAGCAACGCCGCGUGCGGGAUGACGGCCUUCGGGUUGUAAACCGCUUUCGCCUGUGACGAAGCGUGAGUGACAGUAAUGGGUAAAGAAGCACCGGCUAACUACGUG